CGGCGAGUAGCGCAGGUUGGUAGCGCAACUGGUUUGGGACCAGUAGGUCGGAGGUUCAAAUCCUCUCUCGCCGACCA
rnacentral:tRNA from 1 species